CGCGGGAUUCACGGGGGGACGGGGUGCAGCAGGCGCGAAAACUUUGCAAUACACGAAAGUGUGACAAGGCUAUCCCGAGUGCCAUCCGCUGAGGAAGGCUUUUACCCAGUAUAAAUAGCUGGGAGAAUAAGGAGAGGGCAAGUCUGGUGUCAGCCGCCGCGGUAAUACCAGCUCUCCGAGUAGUGUGGAUGUUUAUUGGGCCUAAAGCAUCCGUAGCUUGCUAAGCAAGUCCCCUGUUAAAUCCACCGAUUCAAUCGGUGGAUUGCGGGGGAUACUGUUUGGCUAGGGGACGGGAGAGGCCGACGGUAUUUCCCGGGUAGGGGUGAAAUCCUAUAAUCCCGGGAAGACCACCAGUGGCGAAGGCUGUCGGCUAGAACGCGCCCGACGGUGAGGGAUGAAAGCUGGGGGAGCGAACCGGAUUAGAUACCCGGGUAGUCCCAGCUGUAAACGAUGCAGGCUAGGUGUUUGGGCGGCCACGAGCCGCUCUAGUGCCGCAGGGAAGCUGUUAAGCCUGCCGCCUGGGGAGUACGGCCGCAAGGCUGAAACUUAAAGGAAUUGGCGGGGGAGCACCACAAGGGGUGAAGCUUGCGGUUUAAUUGGAGUCAACGCCGGAAAUCUCCCCGGGAGCGACAGCAGUAUGAAGGCCAGAUUAAAGGUCUUGCUAGACGAGCUGAGAGGAGGUGCAUGGCCGUCGCCAGUUCGUGCCGUGAGGUGUCCUGUUAAGUCAGGCAACGAUCGAGACCCGCGUCCUCUGUUGCUACUGGCUUUGAGCCAGGCACACUGAGGAGACCGCCGCUGAUAAAGCGGAGGAAGGAGCGGGCCACGGCAGGUCAGUAUGCCCCGAAUCUCCCGGGCCACACGCGAGCUGCAAUGGCAGGUACAAUGGGUCCCGACCUCAUAAGAGGAAGGCAAUCCCGAAAGCCUGCCGUAGUUGGGAUCGAGGGUUGAAACUCACCCUCGUGAACAUGGAAUCCCUAGUAAUCGCGUGUCACUAGCGCGCGGUGAAUACGUCCCUGCUGCCUUGCACGAAUUCGCCGAAUCACUAGU
rnacentral:rRNA from 1 species